CGUAACAAGGUCUCCGUAGGUGAACCUGCGGAGGGAUCAUUACACAAAUAUGAAGGCGGGCUGGAACCUCUCGGGGUUACAGCCUUGCUGAAUUAUUCACCCUUGUCUUUUGCGUACUUCUUGUUUCCUUGGUGGGUUCGCCCACCACUAGGACAAACAUAAACCUUUUGUAAUUGCAAUCAGCGUCAGUAACAAAUUAAUAAUUACAACUUUCAACAACGGAUCUCUUGGUUCUGGCAUCGAUGAAGAACGCAGCGAAAUGCGAUAAGUAGUGUGAAUUGCAGAAUUCAGUGAAUCAUCGAAUCUUUGAACGCACAUUGCGCCCUUUGGUAUUCCAAAGGGCAUGCCUGUUCGAGCGUCAUUUGUACCCUCAAGCUUUGCUUGGUGUUGGGCGUCUUGUCUCUAGCUUUGCUGGAGACUCGCCUUAAAGUAAUUGGCAGCCGGCCUACUGGUUUCGGAGCGCAGCACAAGUCGCACUCUCUAUCAGCAAAGGUCUAGCAUCCAUUAAGCCUUUUUUUCAACUUUUGACCUCGGAUCAGGUGGGGAUACCCGCUGAACUUAAGCAUAU
rnacentral:rRNA from 1 species